rnacentral:rRNA from 1 species
GACGAACGCUGGCGGCGUGCUUAACACAUGCAAGUCGAACGAUGAAGCUGGAGCUUGCUCCGGUGGAUUAGUGGCGAACGGGUGAGUAACACGUGAGCAAUCUGCCCUUGACUCUGGGAUAACUGCGGGAAACUGUAGCUAAUACCGGAUACGAGGCUCGAAGGCAUCUUCGGGUCUGGAAAGAAUUUCCGGGUCAAGGGAUGAGCUCGCGGCCUAUCAGCUAGUUGGUGAGGUAAUGGCUCACCAAGGCGACGACGGGUAGCCGGCCUGAGAGGGUGACCGGCCACACUGGGACCUGAGACACGGCCCAGACUCCUACGGGAGGCAGCAGUGGGGAAUAUUGGACAAUGGGCGAAAGGCCUGAUCCAGCAAUGCCGCGUGAGUGAUGAAGGCCUAGGGUUGUAAAGGCUCUUUUACCAGGGAAUGGAUAAUGACAGUACCU